AACAUUGAUGCGAGUAGUGCCGCGCGAGAACUCCGGCUGUGACCUGUGUACACUUUAUCCAAAUCACAUCACAGUCUGAGUUCUUGCUUGGAGGCUCGUCGAUCAACUAAUGGA
rnacentral:pre_miRNA from 1 species